GAGGCAGCGGUGGGGAAUAUUGGACAAUGGGCGGAAGCCUGAUCCAGCAACGCCGCGUGAGGGAUGACGGCCUUCGGGUUGUAAACCUCUUUCACCAUUGACGAAGCUGCAUUCUUUUGGGUGUGGUGACGGUAGGUGGGGAAGAAGCACCGGCCAACUACGUGCCAGCAGCCGCGGUAAUACGUAGGGUGCGAGCGUUGUCCGGAAUUAUUGGGCGUAAAGGGCUCGUAGGCGGUUUGUCGCGUCGGGAGUGAAAUCAUCUGGCUUAACUGGGUGCUUGCUUUCGAUACGGGCAGACUAGAGGUAUGCAGGGGAGAACGGAAUUCCUGGUGUAGCGGUGAAAUGCGCAGAUAUCAGGAGGAACACCGGUGGCGAAGGCGGUUCUCUGGGCAUGAUCUGACGCUGAGGAGCGAAAGUGUGGGGAGCGAACAGGAUUAGAUACCCUGGUAGUCCACACCGUAAACGUUGGGCGCUAGGUGUGGGAUCCAUUCCACGGGUUCCGUGCCGCAGCUAACGCAUUAAGCGCCCCGCCUGGGGA
rnacentral:rRNA from 1 species